CGGCGACAUCAUAUUGAAACACCAGAUCCCGUACGAUCACUGAAGUUAAGCGAAAUUGAGCCUACUCAGUACCAAGAUGGGUGACUGCUUGCGAGUAUCAGGUGCU